AUUGCCCUGAUGUGGGGGAUAACCAUUGGAAACGAUGGCUAAUACCGCAUAAUAGCUUCGGCUCAAAGAGGGGGACCUUCGGGCCUCUCGCGUCAGGAUAUGCCCAGGUGGGAUUAGCUAGUUGGUGAGGUAAGGGCUCACCAAGGCGACGAUCCCUAGCUGGUCUGAGAGGAUGAUCAGCCACACUGGAACUGAGACACGGUCCAGACUCCUACGGGAGGCAGCAGUGGGGAAUAUUGCACAAUGGGCGCAAGCCUGAUGCAGCCAUGCCGCGUGUAUGAAGAAGGCCUUCGGGUUGUAAAGUACUUUCAGCAGUGAGGAAGGCGGAGUCGUUAAUAGCGGCCUCGUUUGACGUUAGCUGCAGAAGAAGCACCGGCUAACUCCGUGCCAGCAGCCGCGGUAAUACGGAGGGUGCGAGCGUUAAUCGGAAUUACUGGGCGUAAAGCGCAUGCAGGUGGUUUGUUAAGUCAGAUGUGAAAGCCCGGGGCUCAACCUCGGAAUUGCAUUUGAAACUGGCAGACUAGAGUACUGUAGAGGGGGGUAGAAUUUCAGGUGUAGCGGUGAAAUGCGUAGAGAUCUGAAGGAAUACCGGUGGCGAAGGCGGCCCCCUGGACAGAUACUGACACUCAG
rnacentral:rRNA from 1 species